rnacentral:rRNA from 1 species
UACGAAGGGGGCUAGCGUUGUUCGGAUUUACUGGGCGUAAAGCGCACGUAGGCGGAUCGUUAAGUCGGGGGGUGAAAUCCUGGAGCUCAACUCCAGAACUGCCUUCGAUACUGGCGAUCUUGAGUCCGGAAGAGGUGAGUGGAACUCCUAGUGUAGAGGUGGAAUUCGUAGAUAUUAGGAAGAACACCAGUGGCGAAGGCGGCUGC